rnacentral:rRNA from 1 species
GGCGCUAAUACCGCAUACGUCCUGAGGGAGAAAGUGGGGGAUCUUCGGACCUCACGCUAUCAGAUGAGCCUAGGUCGGAUUAGCUAGUUGGUGGGGUAAAGGCCUACCAAGGCGACGAUCCGUAACUGGUCUGAGAGGAUGAUCAGUCACACUGGAACUGAGACACGGUCCAGACUCCUACGGGAGGCAGCAGUGGGGAAUAUUGGACAAUGGGCGAAAGCCUGAUCCAGCCAUGCCGCGUGUGUGAAGAAGGUCUUCGGAUUGUAAAGCACUUUAAGUUGGGAGGAAGGGCAGUAAGUUAAUACCUUGCUGUUUUGACGUUACCAACAGAAUAAGCACCGGCUAACUUCGUGCCAGCAGCCGCGGUAAUACGAAGGGUGCAAGCGUUAAUCGGAAUUACUGGGCGUAAAGCGCGCGUAGGUGGUUCAGCAAGUUGGAUGUGAAAUCCCCGGGCUCAACCUGGGAACUGCAUCCAAAACUACUGAGCUAGAGUACGGUAGAGGGUGGUGGAAUUUCCUGUGUAGCGGUGAAAU